CUCAUUUUUAUUUCUGGAGUGGGGUCGGAGUUACCAAUUAGUUUUCUUAUUUUAUACUCUCUGGAGUUGCCAAAUUCUUUACGUUGAGUUUUUGCUUAUUUUAUAAUCAGAAAGACAAGUACGUUUCUUUUUCCAAGAAUGCUUACAGGAGGCCACAAACAAGAUGUUCGCACCCAGCCCACUGUCUUCCGCUUAAAAAUAUGUGUGAGAUGUUGUGUUUAAGACACCCUCAAGGAGAAACAUAGAGGGGAGACCUGGAAAUGGUCUUGGGAAUCCACUUAGACUUUCCAUAUUAUAUUUGUUUCAUUUAUUUUAAAAUCUCAGACCUAUUUAUGUGCAUUAGGACAUUCCACAUUUUUACAACUGCGCAGAGGAAAUCUUUGGUUGUAGAGGACGGGAAGAGAGAGGCCAGGUCCGCAGACCCCACUGUGACAAGACAGUGGCUACAUUCUUAACUGUUUUACACAUUGUGAUACCCAAAGACUUCUUUUCACAGGAUUCUACUGAGGGGGAAAACAAGAGGAAGAAAGAAAGAUAGACAAGGUUUUCCUCAAGGCAGUAAGCAAAAAGCUGGUUUCUCAGAAGAAAGAAUUAUGUCUGAGAUUUUACCCAGGACUCUCCAGAUCUCUCAUUCUACACAGAAGGACCCUUUCAUUUGGAACGUGCAGAAACUGAGGAGGACCAUCUCUCUCCUCCCUAGGGGCUGCCUGAGUUAAAAAGACCUGGGUCCAUCUUUUUUCUGUAGGAGAGCUGACUUCAGAGUCUAGAGCCAAAUCUUCACUUCUGUGGCUCUAGAUUGAGGAUUUGCCCUUCUGAUCUCUGUGGGGCUUUUUUUUUUUUUUUUUUUUAAUAACCUGGGAAUUCCCCUGGGCUCUUCGGCUGUUAUUCUCAUCAACCCCUCUCUGUAUUCUGCAAGACAUUGAAAUCUUUCUCCCAGCUUGGCCCCCACCUCCAAUCCCAGUAUUCUCUUUUCUCAGAUUGGAGUAUUUCCAACCCCUCAGUUGCCAGGCACUGAAGGUUUUCAUCUUCCAGGCCUGCCAUGUUUACCUCUGAGAUGUUUCUGGCAACUGUCCACUUCUCUGCAUUCUCACACUGCUGCUCUUGAUAAGCUUCGAUUAUCUGGGGCUGAAUUGUUUCAAUAAUUUCCUAACUGAUUUUCUUGCCUCCUAUCUGUCCCCACUACCAACAUAGACUUAAGAAUGUCACUCUCUUGACAAAACAAGCCAACAUCCUCUAUCCUUUGUCCCACUCCCAAACCUGCAGUAACUUUCCUGUGCAAUUGGAAUACAGUGUAAACUUUCAUAAGGAUGGGGAGUGGCCAAGAUGGCUGACCAGAAGCAGGUAAUGUACAUGGCUCUCACGGAGAGGAACAGAAGGGACGAGUAGAUACAACACCUUCAACUGAAACAUCCGGGUACUCGCAUUGGGAUUAAUCAAGGAAACAACCUGACCCACAGAGAACAAGGAAAAGCAAGACAGGACAAUAGCCCACCUGGGAGCAACAGGGAACCAGGGGAUCUUCCCCUGCCCAGGGAAGUGGUCCUCCAGGCCUCAGCCUCCAGCCACUCCCCACCAGAGAUAUCCAGCCAAUACCAACUCAGUGACUUCCAGGACAGUGCCUCCAGGGGCGACUGAAAGCGUCUUAGCCACUGCCUCUGCUGUGGAACUCCCCUUGCCACCCUUGGACUAAAGAAGGAGCAAAGACCCUAAAUGCCUUUUCCAUACCAACAAACUGUAGUAGACCCAAGGAAAGGAGGCCAGUCCAUCUCCCAUGUGUUCCACACUGCUCACCAGACAGGCAACCCCUGGCUUGGGUCCAAAGCACGAACCCUCCAUCUUGGGCUGAUUGCACUGAAUAAUUGGUAACCUGCAUUUUUCUGGGGGUAGAGCCCCCAGGAGUCAAGCAAACAACUCUCGGCCACAACACCUACUAAGAUGAGCCUCUGCUACUUGUAAGCUGGGGAAGGAACAUAAACACUGAGAUCACUCCAGAGCUGCAGUGGGCAGUCCAGGGGUGCUAAGUCCUGAACUAUAGCCAGCACUCAAGGGGGAGAGGAACCCACACUUUCGGAGCACUGAGAGGGAACACAGCUGCAACUGUGAAGAAACAUACAGGAGCAGGAGUCUACCAAUUGACCAAUAAGCCUAAGUGUCACCUGCAGGAUCACACCCCAAAGCUUCAACACGAAAAAUAUUUCACUAACAUACAUACCUCUGAAACCAGAGACAAGAAGUCAGCUUCAAAUAAAGACCCUAUAGAAAGCCUCAGCACAGUGAAAACAUCCAAAAAAGAAGUCUAUUGACUGUAGUCAAUCUACGUUGCAGUCAAAUGAACACCCACACACAGAGAUGAGAAAGAACCAAUGCAAGAACUCCGGUUACUCACAUGGCCAGAGUAUCAUACGUCCUCCAAACGAUCACACCAGUUCUCCAGCAAGAGUUCUUAACCAGGCUGAACUGGCUGGAAUAACAGAAAUAGAAUUCAAAAUAUGGAUAGGAACAAAGAGAUCAUCAAGAUUCAGGAAGAUGGCAAAACCCAAUCCAAGGAAAAUAAGAAUUACAAUAAAGUAAUACAGGUGCUGAAGGAUGAAAUAGCCAGUGUGAAAAAGAACCUAAUGGGUCUGACAGAGCCGAAUAACACAAUACAAGAAUUUCACAAUGUGGGCCAGGUGCAGUGACUCACGCCUGUAAUCCCAGCAUUUUGGGAGGCUGAGGUGGGCAGAUCACCUGAGGUCAGGAGUUCGAGACCAGACUGGCUAAUAUGGUGAAACCCCAUCCCUACUAAAAAUACAAAAAUUAACCAGG